UACAGAGGUCCCGAGCGUUGUUCGGAUUCAUUGGGCGUAAAGGGUGCGUAGGCGGCGGGGAAAGUCUGAUGUGAAAUCCUGGGGCUCAACCCUGGAACUGCAUUGGAUACUUCCUUGCUAGAGUACUGGAGAGGAAACUGGAAUUUACGGUGUAGCAGUGAAAUGCGUAGAGAUCGUAAGGAAGACCAGUGGCGAAGGCGAGUUUCUGGACAGUUUACUGACGCUGAGGCACGAAGGCCAGGGGGAGCAAACGGGG
rnacentral:rRNA from 1 species